rfam:Schistosoma mattheei strain Denwood, Zambia genome assembly, scaffold: SMTD_scaffold0003363
ACCCAGUUGACGAGUCCCAAAUAGGAUGAAACAUUCGUCCUGGAU